GAUGAACGCUAGCGGCAGGCCUAAUACAUGCAAGUCGAACGAGAUUAAGAGGCUUGCUUCUUAUGAAAGUGGCGCACGGGUGCGUAACGCGUAUGCAACCUACCUUAAUCAGGGGGAUGGCCCGAAGAAAUUCAGAUUAAGACCGCAUAAAAACACAGGAUAGCAUUAUCCAAUGUUCAAAUAUUUAUAGGAUUAAGAUGGGCAUGCGUGUCAUUAGCUAGUUGGCGGGGUAACGGCCCACCAAGGCGACGAUGACUAGGGGAUCUGAGAGGAUAACCCCCCACACUGGUACUGAGACACGGACCAUACUCCUAAGGGAGGCAGUAGUAAGGGAUAUUGGUAAAUGGAGUGAACUCUGAACCAGCCAUGCCGCGUGCAGGAAGACAGCCCUCUGGGUCGUAAACGGCUUUUAUUCGGGAAUAAACCUUUCUACGUGUAGGAAGCUGAAUGUACCGAAGGAAUAAGGAUCGGCUAACUCCGUGCCAGCCGCCGCCGUAA
rnacentral:rRNA from 1 species